rnacentral:misc_RNA from 1 species
GAUGAAGAACGUAGCGAAAUGCGAUAAGUAAUGUGAAUUGCAGAUUUCAGUGAAUCAUCGAAUCUUUGAACGCACAUUGCGCCCCUUGGUAUUCCGAGGGGCAUGCCUGUUCGAGCGUCAUUAUAACCCCUCAAGCUUAGCUUGGUGUUGGGGCCUGCUGUAAUAGAGCAGCCCUUAAAAUCAGUGGCGGUGCCAUUAGGCUCUAAGCGUAGUAAUUCUUCUCGCUAUAGGGUUCUGGUGGAUGCUUGCCAUUAACCUCUAAUUUUCUAUGGUUGACCUCGGAUCAGGUAGGGAUACCCGCUGAACUUAAGCAUAUCAAUAAGCGGAGGA